AUUGAACGCUGGCGGAAUGCUUUACACAUGCAAGUCGAACGGCAGCAUAGGUGCUUGCACCUGAUGGCGAGUGGCGAACGGGUGAGUAAUACAUCGGAACGUGCCCAGUCGUGGGGGAUAACGUAGCGAAAGUUACGCUAAUACCGCAUACGAUCUACGGAUGAAAGCGGGGGACCGUAAGGCCUCGCGCGAUUGGAGCGGCCGAUGUUAGAUUAGGUAGUUGGUGGGGUAAAGGCUCACCAAGCCGACGAUCUAUAGCUGGUCUGAGAGGAUGAUCAGCCACACUGGGACUGAGACACGGCCCAGACUCCUACGGGAGGCAGCAGUGGGGAAUUUUGGACAAUGGGGGCAACCCUGAUCCAGCCAUGCCGCGUGAGUGAAGAAGGCCUUCGGGUUGUAAAGCUCUUUCGGCCGGGAAGAAAUCGCACAGGCUAAUAUCCUGUGUGGAUGACGGUACCGGCAUAAGAAGCACCGGCUAACUACGUG
rnacentral:rRNA from 1 species